GCCAUCAUGGUCCCGAGUGGAAUCCUAAGGUGACACCUGGAAUGUGCCUGCCUCUGAGAGCAGCCUUUUGGCUCCCCAGGCCUCAGUUGCGUUCCUGGAAUAUGAGAAGUUGCUUGGAAUUGCUUUUCCACAGCCUCUGUUGAACCUGUGUCUCUCUCUGUGGAUUAUGGCUCUGCUCCUUGGUUACUUCAAUUUAGAAUAGCUUUCUUUUCUAGGUUUGUUUUUUUUGAAAUGGGGUCUUGCUCUGUUGUCCAGGCAAUAGUGCAAUAGUGCAAUCAUGACUCAACCUCCCAGGCUCAGGUGAUCCUCCCACCUCAGCCUCUGGGGUAGUUGGGACUACAGGCACGCACAACUAUCCUGACCAAUUUCUUAUUUUUGGUAGAGAGAGGGUCUCUUGAUGUUACCCAGCCUUGUCUUGAACUCCUGGCUUCAAGAGAUCCUCCUGCCUUUGCCUCCUAAAGGACUGGGUUACAGGUAUGAGCCACCAGACCUUGCCUUAUUUUCCAGGUUUUGAGAAGCUACAAGUGAGAUAAUUAUUGCUGCCUGUCUAACCUAUUCUCUUCCACACAUUGCGGAGGUCACUGGAAGAAACAGUAAAUCACAAACUCUUUUUCUUCUAUCCAUAACUUUUCCUGCCUCAUUUAGAAUUACCACUCUUGACAACAGGACCCCCCAUUUUUGUCUAUCACCUUAUUAAAUCUUCUGUCAAAUUGCUUUAUUUAAAACAUUUUGCAAACUUAGAGAAACUCUGGUUAUAACUAAAAAUUGUAAGCUGACAGUCAUUUUAACUGGUUGCUCUAAGAGGGUGGCAGAAUUCCUCUUAAAGAGCAAACUGCUCUUUUGUUGGGAAAGCAUUCAGUGGGCUUUUCUGAGUGUGGGGGUGGACCCCAGGAGAGUCUGGGUAGGAGAGGGUCAGCCUGAAAGAGAGCCAAGUUUCUCUGCACCAUCAAGUCACAGGAAUUUUGGAGUGGGUUCCACCCACCACUGCAGGGCUGAGGAAGGUCAGACCAUGAGAGAGAGACAUUGAAAACAAAAAGCUUUCUUAGAGUCCAGGGAGCAGGCCCCAGAAAUACCCAGUUGAGAGUGCCACCAGUAAGGACUCCUCGAGGGGGAGACUUCAGAAAACUUUAGCAAUAGUGUGACCAGGAUUCAAUUUUAAGUCAGUCCAUGUUUUGUGCUAUCAUUCCUCUACAUUGCUCAUAUAAAACAAGAAAAUACAAUAACACACUGCUAAUCACAAGAGCAUUAUCAUGAAGAAAAGGGUGGUGAGUCCAUAUUUUGAAGCAAAGCAAACUAGAAUGGGCUGGGGCAGCCUGGAAAGGCAGUGGGCAGAUGGAGGGAAGAAAUUGAAAAAGUCAGGAGCAAGAGAAAAAUGGGAAGAACCAAGUCUCAACUCUAGAAUCUGCUGGAAAAUUGAAGAACACGUUAGACUUCCCACAAUUUAGGGGAUGGCUGUUAAAGAAAAGGAUGGCCUCAGAAGGACAGAAGAGUUAAGGACUUUGGGGUUUUAUGGAUAAUCCUUAUAUGAAACAUUACAUGUUUUUUUCACUGCUUAAACAACAGACUUCAGCAAUGAUGUAUGUCAGAGAAAUGGGCACAGAAAGUGAGGAAGGACUGUGUGCCUGCAGUUUGUCCCAUUAAAUUGUGGCAAUGAAGGCAGGAAGCCUCGUGUAUAUUCACAUAUAAUAGUAAUAAGAAAAAGAUCAACAGAAAGUGAUUAUGCAACAUUCAACAUUUUUGCGGUACCCAAAGACUUCAUUGAGUUGAUUCAUCUUAAUAUUGUCAUUUUGAUACAAAAUAUCUUUGCAGGAUAUUUGUAGGCACAGCUACCCCAAAUCCCAUUUGCAUUAAUCUAAAACAGACUUGCAGGCCCAGUUCCAGAAAUUCCUUGGGCAAGUCCAUAACGCACAUUCACCGUCAGGCAUGAAGGAAUAGCUUAUCCAGCAGAAAUAUCGGAGGCCAGGCCCCAGUACAAACUCCUUCAGACUUCUCAGUACUCAAGACAUCUCAAGUUUUUGAAGAGUAAAGUAUAAAAUACUGGCAGGGGUGGGUAGGGGGAACAGGAUAAAUUGGUGAUGGCCCAGAAAAAAUAUCCAGGGGGAUCGCAUUUUUCUUCUCCAAAGCAAAACAGAAUUCAUAACUGAAAGAGGAAUAGAGAAAGAGGAAAAAAGUGAUCUGGGACCUGUUGUUUUUCUUGCAUCCCAUUUCUACUCUGCCUGUGAGUGAAGACUGUUGUGGAAAAGUCAACUGGAGAGACCAGGUCAAAGGCCAAGCAGAAGAGGAAUUAGGCUUAAGACUGCACUGAGAGGGAACACUAGACCAUGGUGAUGGAGUCUCGACACGUUGCCCAAGCUGUUCUCAAACUCCAGGGCUUGAACAAUCUUCCCACCUUGGCCUCCCAAGGCACUGGAAUUACAGGUGAGGCACCAUGUCUGGCUUGUUUAUUUUUAUUAUGUAAUAUUCCAUGUACAAAUAUAACAAGAUUUAUUUAUCCAUUUCCACUCUUAUUAGAAUCUGAAUGUUUCUACUAUUAUAAAUUAUACUGCUAUGGACAUUCUCGAAUGUGUCUUCUGGUGCACAUAUAGAUGCGUUUCUGUUGGGUGUAAACCUAGAAGUGAAUUUUGGGGGUCAAAGAAUACAUGUUUUAGCGUUAACAGAUACUGCCAAAGAAUGUUCCAAAGUGGUUGUACAAAUAAUCUCCUAUUAGUAGUAAGUGAGAGUUUCCAUUGCUUAACACUGUGGGUGUCAACAUCGUGUCAACACUAUGGAUUUUUACUGUUUUGAUUUCUAAAUUUGCCAUUCUGAUGGAUGCGUAGAGUUAGGAUUUGAAUUUGUGAUUCCCUCACGGCUAAUGUUUUCAUAGGCUCAAUGGCUAUUUGGAUAUUGUUGUACACUAAAUAUUUGUGCCCCUGCCAAAAUUUAUAUGUGAAAUCCUAACCCCCAAUAUGAUGGUAUUAGGAGAUAGAACUUUUAGGAGUAAUUAGGUCAGAAGAGUGGAACCAUCAUGAAUGGGGUUAGUGCCUUUAUAAGAAGAGACGAGGGAGAGAUUAUUUCUCUCUCUGUCAUGUGAGGAUACAAUGAGGAGACAGCCAUCUGCAAAUCAAAGAGGACCAUCAAAAGAACACAAUCAUGCUGGAAUCCUAAUCUCAGACUUCCAGCCUACAGAGCUGUGAGAAGUAAAUGUGUGUUGUUUGACCAACUAGUCUAUGGUAUUCUGCUAUAGUAGUCCAAGCUGACUGAAACAGCUGUCCUCUUUUGGAAGUGCCUGCUAAAAACUUGGGUUGUCUUUUUUCUUUUUCUUUCUUUCUUUCUUUUUUUUUUUCCUUUCGAGAUGGAGUCUCGCUCUGUUGCCCAGGCUGGAGUGCAGUGGCACCAUCUCAGCUCACUGCAACCUCCACCUCCUGGGUUCAAGCAAUUCUCCUGCCUCAGCCUCCCAAGUAGCUGGGAUUACAGGUGCCCGCCACCAUGCCUAGCUAUUUUUUUUAUUUUUAGUAGAGAAAGGGUUUCACCUUGUUGGCCAUGCUGGUCUCAAACUCCUGAACUUCAGGUGAUCUGCCUGCCUCGACCUCCCAAAGUGCUGAGAUUACAGGUGUGAGCCACUGCGCCUCGUUUUGUUGUUGUUGUCGUAGUUCUCAUAUUCUGAAUACAAGCCCUUUGACAUAGAUGUUUUAAAAUACUGAAUAUUAAGUUCUUAUUUGUAUUGUGAAUAUCUUUACCUACUCUGUGGUUUUAUUUUCACUAUUUUGAUGCCUUUUUUUGAUGGGAUCUCAUUAUGUUGCCCAGGCUAGAGUGCAGUGGCUAUUCACAAGUGCAAUUGUAGCACACUGUAGACUCAAAUUCCUGGGCUCAAGCAAUCCUCCCACCUCAGCCUCCUGAGUAGCUAGGACUACAGGUGUGUGCCACCAUUCCUGGCUUUUCUUGAUGUCUUUUGAUGAAAAAAAGUUUUUUUUUUAUUUUAAUAAAGUCCAAUUUAUUCAUUUUUUUCUUUAGCAUUUUUUUACCUUCAAAAAACUUGUCUAUCUCAAAUCAUGAAGAUAUAUUUGUAUGUAAUAUUGUAGAAAUUCUACUAUUUUACCUUUUAUAUUUAUAUCUAAAAUCCACAGAGAAGACUUAUGAUUUCCACUCUGACAUGUAAAGAGUUUUAAAGAGUUUGCAAGUCAUCAUUCCUGUCCUCACAACAAGAGGGCUGAAAAUUUGAAAAUCAACAAAUCUUCUUAGAUCCAUCAGAGCAUUGCAGUUACAAAUCACAAUGAAAUGAAAAAUCAUUUUCAUGAGUUUUCCCUCCAAAAGACCCACCAGUUUAUCACAGUGAACAUCUGAGAAAAAUUCCCUCUUGCUUCCAGCAAAGACAGGUAAAAAUAAUAAUUUUGAAAUGUACUCAAGGGAAAAGUAUCCAUUUUGAAAUAUGCCCAGAGCAUUCUGGUCUUCAUUCUGUCCUCUAUAACAAAGGCUGGCUCUCAGGGAAACUACCACAGCCUUAUCUGACCUGAUGGAAGGUCAAUUAGCUAACUCCAGCCUCAAUUUCAGUCUCACAUAAGCAUAGGGGAGAAAAAGGCUAAGAACUUCUUCUAAAAGUCACAACCCAGGGAGUAUAGCCCACCAAAGAGAAGAGAAAGGAGAGAGAUAUUUUAAUCACAAAAUAAUAUAAGAUUAUCAUAAGAUAAUAGGCCAGAACAUCCAAGAACUGUGGGACAAGACAAAAGGUACAACAUACAUAUAAUGGGAAUACUAGGAGAAGAAUGAAAGAUGCAAAAGAAAUAUUAGAAGUAAUAACGUAUCAUAAUUUUCCACAAUUAAUAAGAAACACCAAGCCAAAGAUCGAGAAAGCUCAGAGAAUACCAAGGGAACGAAUACCCAAAAUUUAGGCAUAUGAUAUCCCAACUGUAGGAAACCAAAAACAAAACAUCUUGAAAAAAGCCAGAGGGCAGGGGCGGGGGGGUAAUACCUUACCUACAGAGGAACAAGGAUAGAGUUAUAUUGGAACUCUCUUCAGAAACCAUGCAAGCAAGAGAAGAGUGGAAUGAAGUAUUUAAAGUGUUGAAAGAAAAAGACCACCAACCGAGAUUUCUAUAUCCAGUGAAAAUAUCCUUCAAAAGUGAAAAAAUUAUAAAGGCUUUUUCAUACAAACAAAAACUGAGGAAAUUUGUCAGCAAUAGAUUUAUUUGCCUUGCAAGAAAUGUGAAAAUUUCUUCAGGGAGAAGAAAAAUGAUAUAGGUGAGAAACUUGCAUUUACAUGAACAAAGGAAGAGUGUUAAAGAAGGUAUAAAGGAAGGUUUUUUUAAAAAAAUACCUUUCUUAUUCAUAUCUUAUGUAAUAUAUAAUUGUUUGUUCAAAAUAAUAUCAACAACAUAUAUAGCUUCCGAAUAAAUAGAAUAAAUGCACCAAUGUUAUAAGGAAUGAGAAGACAUUGGGAAGAUUUUGUUAUAAUGUAUUUGCACUUCCCAUGAAGCUACAUACUAUUAUUUGAUAGUGAACUUAGAUUAUUUGUAAAUAUAUAUUGAAAACUCUAGGUCAAGGCCUAAAAAUUUUUUAAUCGAUUUCUAAGAAAGGAGGGAAAAUGGAAUCAUAUAAAAUGCUCAAUUAAAAUCAAAGAAGUUAGAAAAAGGGAAGAUUUUUCAAAAGUGAAACAAAUAGAAAACAAUUUAAAAUGUGGCAGGUAUUCAACUGUAUCAAUAAUCACUUUAGAUGUCAGUCCCUUCAGGCUGCUAUAACAAAAUACUAUAAACUGAGUAUUUCAUAAAACAGAAGUUUAUUUCUUACUGUUCUGGAGUCUGGGAAGUCCACAAUCAAGUCACCAACAGAUUCAAUAUCUGGUGCGAGCACACUUUUUGGUUUAUAGAUGGUACCUUGUUUCAGGGUACCUUGUUUCAGGGUCCUCAUGUGGUGAAAGUUGUGAACAAAGUGCCUUGGGCCUCUUUAUAAAGGCAAUAAUACCAUUCAUGAGGGCUCUACCCUCAUAACUCAACAACCUUCCAAAAGUCCCACCUCCUAAUACUAUCAUCUUGGAGGGUAGCAUUUCAAAACAUGAAUUUUGAGGGGACAUAAACAUGCAGACCAUAGUAGAUCUAAAUGACCUAAAUAUACCAGUUAAAAGACAAAGGCUAUCAGAGUGGAUUGAAAACAAGACCCAACAAUAAUCCUACUUUAGACACAGGUUGAGCAUCCCUAAUUUGAAAAUCCAAAAUCAAAAGUGUGCCAAAAUCCAACAUCUUUUGAGCACUGACAUGAUGAUCAAAGGAAAUGCUCACUGGAGAGAUUUUCAGAUUAGGGAUGUUCAACCUGUAAAUAUAAUACAAAUAUUCCAAAGUCCAAAAAAGUCUGAAAUCUGAAAAACUUUUGGUCCUAAGCAUUUUGGAUAAGGGAUACACAGCUUGUGUAGAAAUGCAGAUUAAAAGUAAAGGGAUGGAGAAAGAUGUACCAUAUUAACACCAGUCAAAAGAAAGCUGAAGAAGCUACGUUGAUUUCAGAUAAAGCAGAAUCAAGGCAAGGAAAUUUAUCAGGGAUAAAGAAGAGUGUUAUAUAUUAAUAAAAGUGUCAAUUCUCCAAAAAGACAUAAUAAUUAAUGUGUAUUCAGAGAACCAGAAUACAUUAUGCAAAACUUACAGAAGUAUAAGGCAAAGUAGAUGAAUCCACAAUUAUAGUUGGAGAUUUUAUCUGUAAUGCACAGAUCCAGCAAGCAGAAAAUCAGUGUAAGAAUAUAGUUGAACUGAACAGCACUGUCAGUCAACUGGAUUUAAUUGACAUUUUUAGAACACUUCCCCAACCACAGCAGAAUAAACAUUCUUAUCAAACUCACAGGGAACAUUCACCAAGAUAGACCACAUUCUGGGCCAUAAAAACAUCUGUAAUAAUUUAAAGAAUAGAAAUCAUACAAAGUAUGCUCUUAGACCACAAUUGAAUUAAAAUAGAAAUCAAUAAAAAUAUCGAGAUGGAUCUCAAAUAUUUGGAGAUUAAACAACACACUUUUAAAUAACACAUGGGUCAAAGAAGAAGUUUCAAGAAAAUUAAAAAAUAAAUGAAAAUAAAAAUACAAUUUAUCAAAAUGUGCAGAAUGCAGCAAGAACAAUGUCUAGAGGGAAAUUUGUAAUACUGAAUUUACAUAUUAGAAAAGAAGAAAGACCUAAAAUCAGUAACCUAAGCCUACACAUUAGAUAACUAGAGAAAGAGUUAUAUAACCUUAAAGCAAGCAGAAGAAAAGAGCUAAUAAAAAUUAGAGUGGAAAUUAACAAAAUUGAAAAAGGGGAAGAAAUAAGAAAAUCAACAAAACCAAAAAUAGAGCAAUCUAAUUGAUAAACCCUUAGCCAGGCUAACAAUGUAAAAAUAAAUUAUUAGUAUCAGAAAUGAAAGAGGAGACAUUACUACUGACCCCAUGGCCAAUAAAAGGAUAAUAAAGACUAUUUUAAACAACUCUAUGCCCACAACGUGAUAAUAUUUAGAUAAAAUGGGCUAAUUCCUCAAAAGAUCUAUAAAAACUCAUACAAGGAGAAAUAGACCAUCUGAAUAGGCCUGAAUCUAUUAAAGAAAUUGAAUGGGGGGAGGAGCCAAGAUGGCCGAAUAGGAACAGCUCCGGUCUACAGCUACCAGCGUGAGCAAGGCAGAAGACAGGUGAUUUCUGCAUUUCCAUCUGAGGUACCAGGUUCAUCUCACUAGGGAGUGCCAGACAGUGGGCACAGGUCAGUGGGUGCACACACUGCACGCUAGCCGAAGCAGGGCGAGGCAUUGCAUCACUUGGGAAGCCCAAGGGGUCAGGGAGUUCCCUUUCCGAGUCAAAGAAAGGGGUGACGGACAGCACCUGGAAAAUCGGGUCACUCCCACCCGAAUACUGCGCUUUUCCGACAGGCUUAAAAAACGGCGCACCACGACAUUAUAUCCCACACCUGGCUCGGAGGGUCCUAUGCCUAUGGAGUCUCGCUGAUUGCUAGCACAGCAGUCUGAGAUCAAACUGCAAGGCGGCAGCGAGGCUGGGGGAGGGGAGCCCGCCAUUGCCCAGGCUUGCUUAGGUAAACAAAGCAGCCGGGAAGCUCAAACUGGGUGGAGCCCACCACAGCUCAAGGAGGCCUGCCUGCCUCUGUAGGCUCCAUCUCUGGGGGCAGGGCACAGACAAACAAAAAGACAGCAGUAACUUCUGCAGACUUAAAUGUCCCUGUCUGACAGCUUUGAAGAGAGCAGUGGUUCUCCCAGCAUGCAGCUGGAGAUCUGAGAAUGGGCAGACUGCCUCCUCAAGGGGGUCCCUGACCCCUGACCCCCGAGCAGUCUAACUGGGAGGCACCCCCCGAGCAGGGGCACACUGACACCUCACACGGCAGGGUAUUCCAACAGACCUGCAGCUGAGGGUCCUGUCUGUUAGAAGGAAAACUAACAAACAGAAA
rnacentral:lncRNA from 10 species